rnacentral:rRNA from 1 species
AGAAUCAACGCUGGCGGCGUGCCUAACACAUGCAAGUCGAACGAGAAAGUGGAGCAAUCCAUGAGUAAAGUGGCGACCGGGUGAGUAACACGUGACUAACCUACCUUCGAGUGGGGGAUAACCUCGGGAAACCGAGGCUAAUACCGCAUAACAUCGCAAGAUCAAAGCAGCAAUGCGCUGGAAGAGGGGGGUCGCGGCUGAUUAGCUAGUUGGCGGGGUAAUGGCCCACCAAGGCGAAGAUCGGUAGCCGGCCUGAGAGGGCGCACGGCCACACUGGAACUGAAACACGGUCCAGACUCCUACGGGAGGCAGCAGUGGGGAAUUUUGCGCAAUGGGGGAAACCCUGACGCAGCAACGCCGCGUGGAGGAUGAAGCCCCUUGGGGUGUAAACUCCUUUCGACCAAGACGAUAAUGACGGUACUGGUGGAAGAAGCACCGGCUAACUCUGUGCCAGCAGCCGC